CUCGUUUUGUGUGUGUCCUUCUCGCUUCUGCUCGUCCUCCUACUCGGCAUCAUCUCGGUCUGGUGAGCAUGUACACACACACACACACACACGCACACACACGGAGAGAGAGACAGACAUCCAAAGGCACACCCGCUGACCUGGAGAAGCCCACUGUGCCGUCAUUGCUUUCCUCGUCUCCCUUCCCUUUCCCUAUGCGCUCAGUUUGGUGUCUUGCGCAUUGAUGUGUGUAUAUGUGUAUGUCGGUGCUUGUGCGUGCGUGUGUGUGCGCGUUCUUCCGUCAAUGAGAAACGUGUGCGCCCUAUCCCCUUUGUUCAGUUUCCGUCAUCCCUCGUGGUACACGUGCCGCCCCCUGUCGCGUGCGCUCGCCUGCUCUCUCUCUCUGCCUGUCUGUUUUCUUCUGUUGUUGCUUGCUGCCUUCUUUUGUUUUACCCCACCCUUUUUUUUUCUUCGUUUGUUUUUUUUUUCGCGCUCAGUGAGUUGCUGCGCGACUCUCUGUGCGUGUGUGCGCCUCUUCUGUGUGCGUGUGUGUCGUCAUCUGAGCUUCUUCGCGCUACGCAGCGUCCUUUCUCUUGCCACUGUCCCCUCCCCCGUCUGCUCUGAAUUCUUUCCACGGCGUUUGAGUGAGCCUGUGAGCAUCUCUCACGAUGGCACUUUCGAGCGCACUGCACGUGCGCCGUUCCUCCGUCUCUCGCAUCCUUUCUUUGCUGUUUUGCUGCUGUUGCUCUCUCUCUCUCGAUGCACUUCGCCAGAUGCCUGACUACGGGCACAUUGGUAGGCCGUCAGCUUCCUACCCGUCCACCCCACUUCCUGAAAGUUGCGCGUGAAUUCGUGUGCCCUUUUCGCUUCACUGGACGAUCGUGCUCUCUCUCUGAACCACUGGCCGAGGGUGUACGAUGCGCGAGCACCAUCGUCUGUGUGGCGUGCGGAUGUGGAGGUGGGCGGGGUGGAUUGGCGGCUAUGCGAGAGAAGGAAAAAAAAAGCAGAUGCGAUGCGGUGGUGACGGAGGCGGAAGUAGCAGUUAUGCUGUUCACUGGCGCGAUAAAUUAGAAAGCGUUUUUCAACCUCACCCUUUGCCUGUGCCUAACUAUUCGAGUGAGAGAGAGACACGCCCAGGAGUGCUGGAUGCUGUCGUUGGUGGACGCUGGUGAAGAGGAGGAACAAGAGAAUUGAAGUGCGGGGGCCGAGAAGAAGGGGCAAUAUUGUCGACACAGCCAGAAAGGUGAUUGUAAGACACAUACACGCAAUACUCCCCCAGCCCGCGUUCGGCCCACUCACACACACACACACACAAACACACAGACACACACACAAGCGCAGAGGAGUGGGUACUCUCGAAAACCGAAGAGACACGUGAAAUAGGAUGCACCCGGAAUCGGCAAAGCCCCCCUUUCCUCCCUUCCUCCCUUCACUCACAGGUUUGCGAUUGAAAAAGUCAUGCGAGUUGCGAGGCAGAAGGAAAAAAGGUGCAGGAGAACGACACGACUGUAAGGAAAACAUGGGCUCUAACACGCGCACACACACACACACAUACACAUAGAGAGAUGGAAAGCGGACGAAGUUCGAGGAAACCAGUCUAUCGGGCCGAUCUCCUCCACGCCUUUUUCUUGCCGUUAUCGACACGCAUGUACGGCGAACCUCUUGCUCUUUCAGUGGCCUGUCAGACGCACGCCGUUUCACUAUGUCUCCGAGUCCCUGUGUUGGUGCGUCUCGUUCUCCUGCGUAGCUGACGUCCCUGUAUGCCUUUUUUUUUGUUUAAACGCCCCGUGAAGGCGCGAAAGCAGAACAAGGGUGGACAGGACGCACACGCAUGAAUAUAUAUAUAUGUGCAAACAUAGGCGUAUAUAUGUAUGGAUACACGUCUAUAUGUUUGUAUACAUAACCACCAACGAAAAUAUCAAGAGCCAAAAAAGAGGGAAAAAGAGGAAAAUAAAAGAGCAAAACAAGGGAGAAACAGGAGAGCUCAUCUUGUCCGUUGCGGUGUACGUUUACGCAUGUCCAUGCGCGUAUGUAUUUACGUGUACGUGUUUUUUUGUGUGUGAUGUCUCUCUCUCUCUUCAUUGACUUAUGGUUGGUUGUUGGCGCUUCUUCUUGUUUUUUUUUCUUUUUCGUAUUUUGUAUGGGCGUCAAAGAGAAAGGGCGAGGAAAAAGGCAAAAAAGGAAAAAAAAAGAAAUCAAACACCGACACACACACACACACACACACCGAGACGCACACGCACGUACCGACACGGACGCGCACACGUAUACAACCAUACGCAAAAAAAAUGAAGUGAAGGCUGUUCCAGAUAAUGUGAGGGGGGGGGGCAAAGCAACAGAAAGCGCACACGCUGAACACAUGUACGCCACCAACAACAAUACUGAUGGGCUUUUUUUUUUUGGUUUGUCUGUCUGUGUGUGUGUGUGUGCGAUUCUUGUGCCCUUUCUCUUUGUUUCUGUCUUUACGGAUGUGCUGUCCUCCCCCUUCUUGUUUUUUUUUCCUUUCUUUCGCUCUGCCGGGGAGGUUUCCUUUUCUUCACACACUCAUUCAUACGCACACAGGUGCGCAUUGAUGGAUUAUCUGUUUGUUUUUUUAUUUUUUAUUUUGCUGUCAGUUCGUGCUGGUUGCUGUGCAGGCUUGUCUCUUCGACUGUGCCUAUAUCUCGCCUGCGUUCUGUUAGGCCGCAAAAUCCACACACAAGAGAGUCGAAUGCCUUGUGCGCUGUGCAAGAGGCGCUCCGUGGCCACAUCAGCAGAGAGUAAUAGAGAAAGAAAGCAUCGCAGCAGGUGUGGCCGGUAUCAUGCGUCGAUGUGAAUCAUUCAACUGCGUUGUGUACCGUGUGUGUGUGUCUGUGUGCUUUCUUUCUCCGGUUUAUUUAUUUUUUUUUGGCAUUUCUGUGUCUGUUUCACUUUAAAAGUGCGGCACGCGUUUCUUUCGCUUUUUUUUCGAUUGAGUCCUUGUCACGGUAAUUCGUUGUUUUGUCGUUUCUGCGCGGUAUUGUGUGUGUGUGUGUGUGUGCCUGCGUCCAUGUGCGUUGUUUGUUUGUCUUUGUGUGUGCGCGCGUUUUUCUUUGGCUGGUCUCCUCGCCCCUUCCUCUCCUUUUCUCUCCUCUCCUGCCCCCCUCCCCCUUUUCAUGGUUGGAUCAGUCUUUCAUUCAGCAGCGGCGUUGGUUCCACAUUCAAAACGCGUCGUGAACAAGUGCACAAGAAGGCAAGGAGACGAAGAAAAGAAGGCGACGUCGUACCUGUGUGAGUCACGGAGUUCCAGCGCCUUCUACGACGUUAAGCGACGGAUACCCAGGAAGGAGGCAGUGCACAACAAAACGAAAGAACUCAGAACAAACCCGCCCCUAGGCUGUAUCUCUCUUCUUUUUCUUAAGUAACCGUGUGCGCUUCUACUCUCUGUCCCUCUUCAGAAGUAGUGAUGGUGAUGCUGAUGAAGGUAUCGCCUCACGCCGAACCAGUGCAGACGGUAAGGCGCACGCACAUCAACAUGAGGACAACAAAAAUGAACAAUGAGCACGCGCGCUUCUUCUUGACUUG
rnacentral:misc_RNA from 1 species